CAAUAUUGCCGAAGCCUGAAGAAAAACCAAAGCCUUUGAGCGAAUCUGAUCUUGUUGAUGAAUUCUCAAGGGACUUUGCCUGCCCUGCACAGCCUGCAGUACAACCCAAAGCACCAAAACCCUGCAGCAUAUCCAAAAAGCCAUCAGGCUCUGUGUCUGCAAAAGCCACUGAGGAUAAAGUGGUCCCUCGUGCCGCAGCUUGCACUGUGCAGUCUGCAGCUCCCAAGUCUUCAGUAAGUAACAGAGCCACUUCAGCUGGAGUUAAAGCAAAACUCAGUGUUUAAUCUAUGGA
rnacentral:lncRNA from 1 species